GGGGGGCCCCUGAAGACCCACCCUCAGCACACAGAAUUCUCAUUCUCCUUCUGGUCCCAUCGUCUGGGUUGACAUCGUCACUGUAGGUUAUGUUCUGGCCUCACUCCUGAGCUCAUCUGGUCAUGCAGAACUCUGAGAGGAAUUCUAUGUGCGUUUUCCAGGUCCCUGAUUCCCUGGUCUGCGGACUGCUGGUGCCAAUGGAGGAAGUUUUUCUCUUCUCUUUGUGACUCACGCCUGCCUCAGUACCAGGGCCAACGUACAGUGGUGACUCCUGCACCAAAGUCAGAGACAGAAGAACAUCCACCCAACAAAUGUUAAUCCAGACCCACUGUGGUCUGGGACACGUUCCAUGCGGGGAAUUCAGCAGGAACAAGACACGGCCUUCUUGAAGUGAGUUGUUCAUCGUGCUGGUUUGGCUGUGCAGGAAAACUGGGUUUGCAGACCCAGCAGACAGUCCCUGUCACCUUCCACCUGAGCAUUGUCUUCUAUAUUCACUGAAAAGACUGGUGCCUGUGAUUCCCAGGUCCUGCUCAGCUGGGGUUGACCAUGUGGCUCAGGCCCGAUCAGUGGGAUGUGAGAUCAGUGGGUGAAAUUCUUCUUAGGAAAGCUUUGCUCUUGUGAAAGAGCACUGGAUUCAUGAGGCCCUUUUCUCCUUGAAUAUGGGAGUGAUAGCUGGAGCCGCGGCAGCCACCCUGAAGUCACACAUCAGCAGGGAUGAAAAUAAAGCCAACAUCAUAGGGAUGGUGGAACAAACAGUGAGAAAGACCCUGGUGUCUUCGUGAAAGUGGUGGGUAUUAUUGCAGGGAGAAAUACGCCCUUAGCUGUUUGUGUCUCUGUUUUUUAUGUGUGAUUCUGUGGUAAAAAAGCAUCCAUGACCAAUUAAGUAAAUAGUUAACACAAAUCAAUCAAUUAAUAAAAUUAAUAAUAGGCGAAGAUUCCUACAGUUGUAAAUGCUAUGGGGAUAAUUAAAAAGAUUUAGGCAGAAAAUAACAGGCAGGUUGUAUAAUAAUAAGAGCCUGGGGACAUCUUAAUGGGGAAGUGUCUCUGGAACUGCUGUCAGGACUGAUAGAGAAAAACGAGUCCCGGGAUCUGUGUUGGAAACAGCAGAGUCAGGCCCCUGUGGAAAGAAUCUGGUGUGUGUGAGGACCUGAGAGGACAGCGGCAAACCUGAAAGGGGACCUGGAUUCAGGCCAUUUAGGCUAAUUGUGCCAUUUUAAUAAAUUAGUAAUUUGGGAGCAGGAGUCACGUGUGGUCAGGUGUGGUGAAGGGAAAUUUCCAGGUAAUUAAUCAGGUUCUUUGGCAGCUGCUUAGCACAUAUAGGGGCCUCCAGGACGAUGCUGCUGGGGCAGUGACAGGGGAGGCCCUGGUGGGUUGAGCCCAGCCCACUGACCCCUCCCUAGUUCACCUGGGGCUGAAGACACUCAGGGGAGUGGUUCCUGGUUUCUUACCUCCACCCAGUGCCCACCAUGCAGCUCUGUGGGGACCCCCACUGCUGCCUGUGCCUCUGGUCCUGGGCUCGCUGUCUUGAAUUCCAUGUGGGUGAUCAGCACUGCUUUCCCUGAAAUUCUACAGAUCUAGGACCUGGGAGCACAGAAUCUGCAAAGUGCACUUAACACAGAAGGGAAGGGGCUGAGAUGGGGAGUAACAAUUCCAAGGUCACUUGGGAAGGAGAGAGAAAAGGAAGAUAAGAAAGAUCCUGGACCUGUAACAAUAAGUCUUCUUAGUGUCCUGGGACCAACCUGCCAGGGAGGGCGUGGGAAAAUCCUUAGCCCAAAUGCUCAGGGUCCCUAGGGAGACGGCAUCUCCCUGUCAGCUCUCUUAGCUGCCUGUAGGGGGCGCGCCAGCCACACUCUGGGUUGAAAGGGAGGGGAAAGACGGUUGAUUCCCAGUGCAGGAACCAAGCUGUCUAGAGACAUUUUCCAUGCCCUGAACCUGUGCGCUGGUCUCUGCAGAGGCUUGGAUUUCAAGUGGCAAGAUAUUUGGACUUCAAAUGAAUUAUUUGUGAAAACUACAAUACAAAUGGAAGCCUGACACCAUUCUCCUGUUGCUUGGGCUGCAGGAGAAACAGGCAGAGUCCGUUGAAAUGAAGGCCAUGUCAUUGCUGAGGGUGGGUCAGAGUGACAGCCAGGUUGUGGGAGAGGUUUCUGUCCCGUGUCCCCAUCUGUCCGUGUCACUCUGAGUCACUGCCAGCUGCUCCCACUGCCAUGAUCUGUGUAGCACAGUAAAUAGCCUGGUCCCUAGCCUGGUCCCCACUAAUGGUCAGGGUGUCUAUGUUCCCUGAGUUGGAGCCAGAGAAUCACUCAGCGAUCCCUGUUGGUUGACUGCUAUCUUCAUAGAUGACCAACACAGGGGCCCAUCCUGGCUUCUGCUGGUACCAGGAAGGAUAUUUAUCCCCCAAUUUAUCUCUAGGGCAGGUGAUCCUGCCUGUCUGUCUCGUGGACUCUGACAUCAAGGGUGGCUGAGUCAGCUCAUAGGAGGCCAUGGAGGCUACAGACAGAGAAAAGAGGAGAGAGAAGAGUCUUAAAACUGAGAAACUGACCUCCAAGAAAAUCUUCCCACAUGCCUGGCCUGGACACAGCUCCAGGGAUGAAAGAGCCCUUAGGGCAGUGUGAGCAUAGGAGCACCGUGUGGGGGGAUUUCAGCCCCCCAGCCCAUCCACCUGCAGCAGGGCCAUGAGCAUCCUGCCCACCACAGGCAGGGCCCUGCUGAGCUCAGAGUCAGGGCCAGGCUGGACCCAGAGCCCUGGGGCUGGAUGAAUUGCUGAGACCCUGGGGGCAGCACCUGUGCAGUGAGCAAGGAGGUGGAGGGAAAAAUUGGGAACUGGGGAGUCCAGCCUGACUCUGUACCAGUGUAACACACCCUGCCCUCCUAUGCCCAGUACAGCGAGGUUACAAAUGUGGUGUCCAGGGAGGUGAGGCAGGUGCAAUUACUAUAACCCUGACUGAGGAUUUAAAUGCCUUUCUGCGAAUCAAGGUUUUUGGAAGAAGAAAGGAGAGAGCAGAAUGAGCUGCAGGUCCUCAGCGAGGUGUCAAGGUGCAGAGAAACAUUUGUGACACCCUAUAGGAACCCACAGUUCCUGUGUAUUUAAGAACCAAGACAGAUGCUCUUUCCACCCAAUAGGAGAAACUACAAUUCACUGGGAAUACAUGAUGUUUCUGGCACUAAAGCUCAGUUGUCCACUUGCAUCAUCACCAUCAUCGUCACCACCAUCCUCACCACCAGCAUCACCACCACCAUCACCAUCAGCAUCACCACCACAACCAUCGCCAUCACCACCAUUACCACCACCACCUCCAUCACUACCAUCUCUAUCACCACCAUCACUGCCAUCAUCACCACCACCAUCACCACCACCUCCAUCACCACCACCAUCAUCACCGCCACCACCACCACCACCACCACCACCACCGCCAUCACCACCACCUCCAUCACCACUGCCAUCACCACCACCGCCAUCACCACCACCACCAUCACCACCGCCAUCAUCACCAUCGCCAUCACCACCACCAUCUAUCCCUCCCAGCAGGUUCUUACCCUGGUGAUGACUCAGCAUUUAUAGGUCUACACUGAAUGAUGUCAACUGCACCCAUGAUAACUUUAAUUGUGUCUGCUGGAGAAACCUAAGCACCAAUAUUUUCAAUAUGCAUUGCACAUUGGAAGGAAUCAAUAAGAAAAGCAUUGGCCUCUGGUUUUACAAUUCCAAUAAAUCCAGAUUUUUGACAUCAUAUAGAUGGGGACCGUCCCUCAUAUUACAAACUAUUUUUUCAUGUCUAUCUUAAAUUCUUCUUUGACAGGUAUAAGAGAUUCAAACAUACCUAUGCCACACAUUCAACCUUUCAGGCUGUGUUUCUUUGUGGAUGUCAAUGUCCCUGACACUGUCACCCAAAUACUGAUGGUGCCAUGUCUCUUAUAUGGUGCAACUCGUAAGAACAGGGCGUACAUAUUUUCAAACUUUGAAUGAAUUAUUGGUUGAUAUUGUGAGCAGUCACGAUGGGCAAUGUAUUUAUUUGCUGAUUUAAUUUCAUGCCCAUUCAGUGAACAAUUUACUGGGUGGUUUAAUGAAAGAUCUUCCACUCUUGGUAAACUAUCUUUAAAAAUAUUUUCACACAAUCGUCUUAUAAAAUUUCCAAAAUGGAAAUAAUAAAAUUUUACACUUCUCAUAAAAA